rnacentral:rRNA from 1 species
CUGGCGGCGGCCUACACAUGCAGUCGAGCGGUAGCACAGAGAGCUUGCUCUCGGGUGACGAGCGGCGGACGGGUGAGUAAUGUCUGGGAAACUGCCUGAUGGAGGGGGAUAACUACUGGAAACGGUAGCUAAUACCGCAUAACGUCGCAAGACCAAAGUGGGGGACCUUCGGGCCUCAUGCCAUCAGAUGUGCCCAGAUGGGAUUAGCUAGUAGGUGGGGUAACGGCUCACCUAGGCGACGAUCCCUAGCUGGUCUGAGAGGAUGACCAGCCACACUGGAACUGAGACACGGUCCAGACUCCUACGGGAGGCAGCAGUGGGGAAUAUUGCACAAUGGGCGCAAGCCUGAUGCAGCCAUGCCGCGUGUGUGAAGAAGGCCUUCGGGUUGUAAAGCACUUUCAGCGGGGAGGAAGGCGAUAAGGUUAAUAACCUUGUCGAUUGACGUUACCCGCAGAAGAAGCACCGGCUAACUCCGUGCCAGCAGCCGCGGUAAUACGGAGGGUGCAAGCGUUAAUCGGAAUUACUGGGCGUAAAGCGCACGCAGGCGGUCUGUCAAGUCGGAUGUGAAAUCCCCGGGCUCAACCUGGGAACUGCAUUCGAAACUGGCAGGCUAGAGUCUUGUAGAGGGGGGUAGAAUUCCAGGUGUAGCGGUGAAAUGCGUAGAGAUCUGGAGGAAUACCGGUGGCGAAGGCGGCCCCCUGGACAAAGACUGACGCUCAGGUGCGAAAGCGUGGGGAGCAAACAGGAUUAGAUACCCUGGUAGUCCACGCCGUAAACGAUGUCGAUUUGGAGGUUGUGCCCUUGAGGCGUGGCUUCCGGAGCUAACGCGUUAAAUCGACCGCCUGGGGAGUACGGCCGCAAGGUUAAAACUCAAAUGAAUUGACGGGGGCCCGCACAAGCGGUGGAGCAUGUGGUUUAAUUCGAUGCAACGCGAAGAACCUUACCUGGUCUUGACAUCCACAGAACUUGCCAGAGAUGCUUUGGUGCCUUCGGGAACUGUGAGACAGGUGCUGCAUGGCUGUCGUCAGCUCGUGUUGUGAAAUGUUGGGUUAAGUCCCGCAACGAGCGCAACCCUUUUCCUUUUGUUGCCAGCGGUUAGGCCGGGAACUCAAAGGAGACUGCCAG